rnacentral:lncRNA from 1 species
CAGACUGAAGAUAUCAGGGAUCUCGAUGUAAAAUGUCUAAGGGUGUUCAUCAAUUCAUAGUGGAUCAUCGGAUAAUUUUAAGAAGAAUAUGCAAUCCAAAAUUCUAUUUUAUCCAGGUAUCUACAAAAAUUCAAAUCUCGGUAAGCACAUUUCAACUAUUUUGAGAUUUUUCACAUCCCUCGCUCGGAGAAUACCUGAGUUGAUUCUCUGUCCUGACUCGCCAUCUCUGGCUGUGGGGAGUUGGGAAGGAUCUUCAUCGAGCAUUUCAAGAGCCCGAGCAUCAACUCAA